GAGCACACUCGGGCGUGUUGUCCUUGAAUAGAGAAGGAGUCGAUGUACCUGGAAAAAUCCAGCCUUAACUUGUCCUUACGAAACAGGAGGGUCCCCAGGAAAGGGGGAGGUUCCAGGUUCCCUGCCCCACCCAAGGGAGGGUGGAGCUGAGCAGGGAGAGAAGAGGCUGCAGAGGAGACUGAGGAAGGAAGGAAGCAGGAUGGAGCCAGAAGGAGACCUGGAGGGGCACAUGGAGCCGAGAGACAUGUGAAGAAACUGCGCUUGCCUUUUGGUCGUGGACUGGGUGACACAGAUGUGGGUGAGACCCGUGGGGAGGUGACAAUGGGUCCCACAGGAUUGACCUUAACUCCACAGCGAUGGUGACAUGGAUUGGAAAAAGGCUGCGGUGGACAUCUUGGGAAAAGCCCAUCUGAACAUUUUUGGGGGAGGCCAGUUCUAUAUGGCCCUGUUUUGGGACUAGAUUGACAAGAACCAGAGUUCUGUGAGAGAAACAGGGAUGCAAGCUUCCGGGGGCUGGGCCACCCAGUGCCCUUCUUCAACAUUUCCUUCCAGCCCUUCUGUGGCAGUCCCUAGUGAAAACGAUCAUUGCUGGAAUGAUUAUAAUGAUGACCAAAUAAAAGAAAUAUG